GACGUUAGCGGCGGACGGGUGAGUAACACGUAGGUAACCUACCUAUAAGACUGGGAUAACUUCGGGAAACCGGAGCUAAUACCGGAUAAUAUUUCGAACCGCAUGGUUCGAUAGUGAAAGAUGGCUUUGCUAUCACUUAUAGAUGGACCUGCGCCGUAUUAGCUAGUUGGUAAGGUAACGGCUUACCAAGGCAACGAUACGUAGCCGACCUGAGAGGGUGAUCGGCCACACUGGAACUGAGACACGGUCCAGACUCCUACGGGAGGCAGCAGUAGGGAAUCUUCCGCAAUGGGCGAAAGCCUGACGGAGCAACGCCGCGUGAGUGAUGAAGGUCUUCGGAUCGUAAAACUCUGUUAUUAGGGAAGAACAAACGUGUAAGUAACUGUGCACGUCUUGACGGUACCUAAUCAGAAAGCCACGGCUAACUACGUGCCAGCAGCCGCGGUAAUACGUAGGUGGCAAGCGUUAUCCGGAAUUAUUGGGCGUAAAGCGCGCGUAGGCGGUUUUUUAAGUCUGAUGUGAAAGCCCACGGCUCAACCGUGGAGGGUCAUUGGAAACUGGAAAACUUGAGUGCAGAAGAGGAAAGUGGAAUUCCAUGUGUAGCGGUGAAAUGCGCAGAGAUAUGGAGGAACACCAGUGGCGAAGGCGACUUUCUGGUCUGUAACUGACGCUGAUGUGCGAAAGCGUGGGGAUCAAACAGGAUUAGAUACCCUGGUAGUCCACGCCGUAAACGAUGAGUGCUAAGUGUUAGGGGGUUUCCGCCCCUUAGUGCUGCAGCUAACGCAUUAAGCACUCCGCCUGGG
rnacentral:rRNA from 1 species